rnacentral:rRNA from 1 species
AAUGAACGUUGGCGGCGUGGAUUAGGCAUGCAAGUCGAGCGAGAACCCAGCAAUGGGGGACAGCGGCGCAAGGGACAGUAAUGUGUAGAUUAUCUGCCCUCGGGUCCGGGAUAGCUGCGGGAAACUGCAGGUAAUACCGGAUAACAUCUCCGGAUCAAAGGUGUGAUUCCGCCCGAGGAUGAGUCUGCAUCCUAUUAGCUAGUUGGCAGGGUAAUGGCCUACCAAGGCGAUGAUGGGUAGCGGGUGUGAGAGCACGACCCGCGUCAUUGGGACUGAGACACUGCCCAGACACCUACGGGUGGCUGCAGUCGAGAAUCUUCGGCAAUGGGCGCAAGCCUGACCGAGCGACGCCGCGUGUGGGAUGAAGGCCUUCGGGUUGUAAACCACUGUCAGAGGGGAUGAAAUGCAGGUGGGUUCUCCCAUCUGUUUGACAUAGCCUCAGAGGGAGGACGGGCUAAGUUCGUGCCAGCCGCCGCCGUAAAAC